CAGUAGCCGCGGUAAUACGUAGGUGGCAAGCGUUGUCCGGAAUUAUUGGGCGUAAAGCGCGCGCAGGCGGCCUAUCCAGUCUGUCUUAAAAGUUCGGGGCUCAACCCCGUGAUGGGAUGGAAACUAGUAGGCUAGAGUAUCGGAGAGGAAAGCGGAAUUCCUAGUGUAGCGGUGAAAUGCGUAGAUAUUAGGAAGAACACCAGUGGCGAAGGCGGCUUUCUGGACGAAAACUGACGCUGAGGCGCGAAAGCCAGGGGAGCGAACGGGAUUAGAUACCCCAGUAGUCCCUGUCUCUUAUACA
rnacentral:rRNA from 1 species